rfam:Dipodomys ordii contig_19103, whole genome shotgun sequence.
GGGAAGGUGGCUCAGUGGAAGAGUGCUUGCCCCGCAUGCAGGAGGCCCUAGGUUCGAUUCCUCACCACCACA